UACAGAGGGGGCAAGCGUUGUUCGGAAUUACUGGGCGUAAAGGGCGCGUAGGCGGCCUGUUAAGUCGAACGUGAAAUCCCUGGGCUCAACCCAGGAACUGCGUCCGAUACUGGCAGGCUUGAAUCCGGGAGAGGGAUGUGGAAUUCCAGGUGUAGCGGUGAAAUGCGUAGAUAUCUGGAGGAAUACCGGUGGCGAAGGCGGCAUCCUGGACCGAGAUUGACGCUGAUGAGCGAAAGCUAGGGGAGCAAACGGG
rnacentral:rRNA from 1 species